AUUGCCUACGGGGGGCAGCAGUGAGGAAUAUUGGUCAAUGGGCGGGAGCCUGAACCAGCCAAGUCGCGUGAGGGACGACGGUCCUAUGGAUUGUAAACCUCUUUUGUCGGGGAACAAAGGCGCCCACGGGUGGGCGGAUGAGUGUACCCGAAGAAAAAGCAUCGGCUAACUCCGUGCCAGCAGCCGAGGUAAUACGGAGGAUGCGAGCGUUAUCCGGAUUUAUUGGGUUUAAAGGGUGCGUAGGCGGGCGGUCAAGUCAGAGGUAAAAAUGCGGUGCUUAACGCCGUACAGCAGUUG
rnacentral:rRNA from 1 species